CUUGCUUCUCUUGAGAGCGGCGGACGGGUGAGUAAUGCCUAGGAAUCUGCCUGGUAGUGGGGGAUAACGUCCGGAAACGGACGCUAAUACCGCAUACGUCCUACGGGAGAAAGCAGGGGACCUUCGGGCCUUGCGCUAUCAGAUGAGCCUAGGUCGGAUUAGCUAGUUGGUGGGGUAAUGGCUCACCAAGGCGACGAUCCGUAACUGGUCUGAGAGGAUGAUCAGUCACACUGGAACUGAGACACGGUCCAGACUCCUACGGGAGGCAGCAGUGGGGAAUAUUGGACAAUGGGCGAAAGCCUGAUCCAGCCAUGCCGCGUGUGUGAAGAAGGUCUUCGGAUUGUAAAGCACUUUAAGUUGGGAGGAAGGGCAGUAAAUUAAUACUUUGCUGUUUUGACGUUACCGACAGAAUAAGCACCGGCUAACUCUGUGCCAGCAGCCGCGGUAAUACAGAGGGUGCAAAGCGUUUAAUCGGAAUUACUGGGCGUAAAGCGCGCGUAGGUGGUUCGUUUAAAUUGGAUGUGAAAAUCCCCCGGGCUCAACCCUGGGAAACUGC
rnacentral:rRNA from 1 species